rnacentral:rRNA from 1 species
UACGUAGGGUGCGAGCGUUAAUCGGAAUUACUGGGCGUAAAGCGUGCGCAGGCGGUUUUGUAAGCCAGAUGUGAAAUCCCCGGGCUCAACCUGGGAAUGGCAUUUGGGACUGCAAGGCUUGAGUGCGGCAGAGGAGACUGGAAUUCCUGGUGUAGCAGUGAAAUGCGUAGAUAUCAGGAGGAACACCAAUUGCGAAGGCAGCUCGCUGGGACGUUACUGACGCUGAGACGCGAAAGCGUGGGGAGCAAACAGG